rnacentral:lncRNA from 1 species
CAUCGGUCUGCUCAGCCUCUACAGACCUACACUGACCUCUAGUGGAGCCAUCGGUCUGCUCAGCCUCUACAGACAAACACUGACCUCUAGUGGAGCCACUGUCUGCUCAGCCCUACAGACCUACACUGACCUCAGUGGAGCCAUCGGUCUGCUCAGCCUCUACAGACCUACACUGACCUCUAGUGGAGCCACCUGUCUGCUCAGCCUCUACAGAGAAACCACGGACCUCAGUGGAGCCAUCGGUCUGCUCAGCCUCUAUAGACCAACACUGACCUCUAGUGGAGCCAUCGGUCUGCUCAGCCUCUAUAGACCAACACUGACCUCUAGUGGAGCCAUCGGUCUGCUCAGCCUCUAUAGACCAACACUGACCUCAGGUGGAGCCAUCGGUCUGCUCAGCCUCAUAGACCAACACUGACCUCUAGUGGACCAUCGGUCGGCUCAGCCUCUAUAGACCAACACUGACCUCUAGUGGAGCCACUGUCUGCUCACCUCUACAGAUAAACACUGACCUCUAGUGGAGCCAUCGGCUGCGUCAGCUCUACAGACCAACACUGACCUCUAGUGAGCCAUCGGUCUGCUCAGCCUCUACAGACACACUGACCUCUAGUGGAGCCAUCGGUCGCUCAGCCUCUAUAGACCAACACUGACCUCUAGGGAGCCAUCGGUCUGCUCAGCCCUAUAGACCAACACGGACCUCUAGUGGAGCCAUCGGUCUGCUCAGCCUCUAUAGACCAACACUGACCUCUAGUGGAGCCAUCGGUCUGCUCAGCCUCUAUAGACCAACACUGACCUCUAGGGAGCCAUCGGUCUGCUCAGCCUCUACAGACCAACACUGACCUCUAGUGCAGCCAUCGGUCUGCUCAGCCUCUAUAGACCAACACUGACCUCUAGUGGAGCCAUCGGUCUGCUCAGCCUCUACAGACAACACUGACCUACUCUAGUGGAGCCAUCGGUCGCUCAGCCUCUAAGACCAACACGACCUCUAGUGAGCCAUCGGUCUGCUCAGCCUCUACAGACCAACACUGACCUCUAGUGGACCAUCGGUCUGCUCAGCCCUUAAAACACUGACCUCUUGGAGCCACGGUCUGCUAGCCUCUUUACAGUCCAGGUUCUUGAGGAGCUGCAUGCUCUUCCCAGCCAUGAUGAUCUGUUUGAGGACCGGCUUGAGGAAGGACACAUGGUGAGCUGAGACUUCGAUCCCUGCUCCCCUGCGCUGCUCCCGCUGGCUGCGUCACUCAGCUUGUCCUCGCUCUCCACCGUCUCGGAGAUACUGUACAAGGUGUAGGUGGCAUACCAAAAGUCUCUGUGAUUCACUGGUACGUCUUUGUUCCGGGUUGGGAGAUACAGACAAGGUAGGGGUCAGGACCAUGAUUUAUAUAUACACACUAGAUGACUA